rnacentral:misc_RNA from 1 species
GGUUCGAUCAUGGCUCAGAUUGAACGCUGGCGGGAUGCUUUACACAUGCAAGUCGAACGACAGCACGGACUUCGGUCUGGUGGCGAGUGGCGAACGGGUGAGUAAUGUAUCGGAACGUGCCUAGUAGCGGGGGAUAACUACGCGAAAGCGUAGCUAACUUCACAUACGCCCUUCGGGGAAAGCGGGGGACCUUCGGGCCUCGCACUAAUGGAAACGGCCGAUAUCGGAUUAGCUAGUUGGUGGGGUAACGGCUCACCAAGGCGACGAUCCGUAGCUGGUUUGAGAGGACGACCAGCCACACUGGGACUGAGACACGGCCCAGACCUGCAGGAGGCAGCAGUGGGGAAUUUUGGACAAUGGGGAAACCCUGAUCCAGCCCGCAUCCCGCGUGUGCGAUGAAGGCCUUCGGGUUGUAAAGCACUUUUGGCAGAAAGAAACGGCACGGGAUAAUACCCCGUGCAACUGACGAUACCUGCAGAAUAAGCACCGGCUAACUACGUACCCAGCAGCGCGGUAAUACGUAGGUGCAAGCAUUAAUCAGGUACUGGGCGUAAAGCGUGCGCAGGCGGUUCGGAAAGAAAGAUGUGAAAUCCCAGAGCUUAACUUUGGAACUGCAUUUUUAACUACCGGCAGGCUAGGUGUGUCAGAGGGAGGUGGAAUUCCGCGUGUAGCCAGUGAAAUGCGUAGAUAUGCGGAAUUCACGCCAUCUGACGCACUCCCAACUCGUCAGUUAAAAAUGCAGUUCGAAGUUGGGUUUCGCAUCUUUCUUUCGACAAAAACCUGCGCUUACGCGGUAAUUCCGACAACGCCGCGCCGCGGCUGCUGGCGCAUGGUGUACCGGUGCUGCGGGUACUAUCAGUUGCGCGGGGUGUUAUCGAUGCCGCUCACUGCCAAAAAGUAACUGCAACGAAGGCGCUCAUCACACACGCAGAUGAAAAACACAGUCCCCCUACAUUAACAAAAUUCCCCUACCCCCUUCCGUAGGGUCGCAGGCCAUCUCGAUCCCAGUGUGGCUGGUCGUCCUCUCAAACCAACUGGGUCGCCUGGUCAGCCGUUGCUAAUCCGAUAUCGGCCCACCGCUCUAUUCAGUGCGGGCCCGAAUCCCGCCUUUCCCCCAGAGGGCGUAUGCAAUAUUAUACGCUUUCGCGUAGUUAUCCCCCGCUAUAAACGUUCCAUUGCGUGCUUUCACCCGUUCGCCGCGCACCCUCUCUGAAAACCGAAGUCCGUAGCGUCGUUUUGUGCUGUGUGUGCCCGUAACGUUCAAUCUGACCGUG